rnacentral:Y_RNA from 1 species
GGCUGGUCCAAUGGUAGUGGGUUAUCAAAACUUGUUACCAUUAGUGUCACUAAAGUUGGUAUACAAACCCCCCACUGCUCAAUUUGACUGGCUAAAA